rnacentral:sRNA from 1 species
UUUCCAUACUACCCUGAAACCUGAUACCAAAAUUUUUCUUAAACCAACAUUACAUUACCAAAUCCAACAACACAUUACAGAAUUCAAAUUCAUCAUUCAAGUCUCAACAGAAAUAAAAAUAGGGAACAAAUUAACAAUACAUGGAACAAAUUACAGCUUCUACGAACUCACUUUGAACUCACCUGCAAAACUUGAAAAUCUGAGAUUGAAAUCAGAGUUGAGGAGAGCUGCAGAUUCGGCGAAGAUUGAAAAUCUGAGAUUGAGGAGAGCAGAUGCCGAGCACUGGAUUCGGCGGAGAGAGCGAGAGAUCUAGAAGAUGGAAUCGACAGAGAUGGCGAGCUGAAAUCGACUGGAUUCGGCGGAGAGAGCGAGAGAGCCAACGAUGUGUUUUUUUUAUAUAUGUUUUUUGCUUUUUUUUGUUUUUUGUCUUUUUUUCCCAGCCACUGAUUUGUUUCACUCCUAAACCGCGAGAAUACCUUUUUUUUUCUAAGUGUUGGCGCUAACUCAUAAAAUUUAGGGCAUAGCAUUACUGUCACACUAGGACUCUAAAAACUCUAAUUUCACUUUUAAUAACAGUUACAGAAAUCGUGCUAUCUUAAUGUGAUAUAAAUAUCCAUAAUUUUG